rnacentral:rRNA from 1 species
CAGUAGCCGCGGGAAUACGUAGGUGGCAAGCGUUGUCCGGAAUUAUUGGGCGUAAAGGGCUCGCAGGCGGUUUCUUAGGUCUGAUGUGAAAGCCCCCGGCUCAACCGGGGAGGGUCAUUGGAAACUGGGAAACUUGAGUGCAGAAGAGGAGAGUGGAAUUCCACGUGUAGCGGUGAAAUGCGUAGAGAUGUGGAGGAACACCAGUGGCGAAGGCGACUCUCUGGUCUGUAACUGACGCUGAGGAGCGAAAGCGUGGGGAGCGAACAGGAUUAGAUACCCGUGUAGUCCCUGUCUCUUAUAC